rnacentral:rRNA from 1 species
AAUCGAACCCGGAGAUAGCUGGUUCUCCUCGAAAUAGCUUUAGGGCUAGCCUCGAUACAGAUUUGCGGAGGUAGAGCACUGAAUUUCCUAGGGGGCGUCAAAGCCUACCGAAGAAUAUCAAACUCCGAAUGCCGCGUAAUCGAUUAUCGGGAGUCAGACUGCACGAGAUAAGUUGGGCGGUCAAAAGGGAAAGAGCCCAGACCUUCAGUUAAGGUCCCAAAGUGCGCGUUAAGUGGAAAAGGAUGUGGGAUUUCGAAGACAACCAGGAUGUUGGCUCAGAAGCAGCCAUCCAUUCAAAGAGUGCGUAAUAGCUCACUGGUCGAGAGGUCCUGCGCCGAAAAUGUCCGGGGCUGAAACGCGCCACCGAAACUAAGGAACCGAAAGGUUGGUAGAGGAGCAUUGCAUGCGGAACGAAGCAGUACCGUAAGGAGCUGUGGACUGCAUGGAAGAGAGAAUGCCGGAAUGAGUAGCGAGAUAGAGGUGGGAAUCCUCUAGGCCGAAUAUCCAAGGUUUCCAGAGUAAAGCUGAUCUGCUCUGGGUAAGUCGGGGCCUAAGGCGAGGACGAGAGUCGUAGCCGAUGGACAACAGGUGGAGAUUCCUGUACUGCGGUAUGACAGAACUGUGGGGACACGUAAGGAAAGCGGAAGCCGGGAAUGGAAAGCCCGGUGCAAGCGGGGUACCAGUCACUCUGGCAAAUCCGGGUGGCAAUGGGAAGCCGUGAUGCGGAGCGAAAUAAAGUAGCGAAGUCCGUGAGCCAUGCGUCAAGAAAAGCCGCUAUUGUUUAUACCGUACCCGUACCGUAAACCGACACAGGUGGAUGAGGAGAGAAUCCUAAGGCCGGCGGAAGAAGCAUUGUCAAGGAACUCGGCAAAAUGGCCCCGUAACUUAGGGAUAAGGGGUGCCUCAGAAAUGAGGCCGCAGAGAAUAGGCUCAAGCAACUGUUUAGCAAAAACACAGGUCUAUGCGAAACCGAAAGGUGAGGUAUAUGGGCUGACGCCUGCCCGGUGCUGGAAGGUUAAGAGGAGAGGUUAGCGCAAGCGAAGCUUUGAAUUUAAGCCCCAGUAAACGGCGGCCGUAACUAUAACGGUCCUAAGGUAGCGAAAUUCCUUGUCGGGUAAGUUCCGACCCGCACGAAAGGCGUAAUGAUUUGAGCGCUGUCUCGACAAUGCAUCCGGUGAAAUUGAAGUACCAGUGAAGAUGCUGGUUACCUGCGCCAGGACGGAAAGACCCCAUGGAGCUUUACUCCAGUUUGGUACUGGGACUCGGUAUUGCAUGUACAGGAUAGGUGGGAGGCUAAGAGACAGUAACGCCAGUUAUUGUGGAGCCGCUGUUGGGAUACCACCCUUGCAGUAUUGGGUUUCUAACCAGCCGCCGUGACCCGGCGGUGGGACAAUGCCAGACGGGGAGUUUGACUGGGGCGGUCGCCUCCGAAAGGGUAUCGGAGGCGCCCAAAGGUUCCCUCAGAAUGGACGGAAACCAUUCGAAGAGUGCAAAGGCAGAAGGGAGCUUGACUGCGACACCGACGGGUGGAGCAGGUACGAAAGUAGGGCUUAGUGAUCCGGUGGUAUUAAGUGGGAAUGCCAUCGCUCAACGGAUAAAAGCUACCCUGGGGAUAACAGGCUUAUCACUCCCAAGAGUUCACAUCGACGGAGUGGUUUGGCACCUCGAUGUCGGCUCAUCGCAUCCUGGGGCUGUAGUAGGUCCCAAGGGUUGGGCUGUUCGCCCAUUAAAGCGGUACGCGAGCUGGGUUCAGAACGUCGUGAGACAGUUCGGUCCCUAUCCGGCGUGGGCGUAGGAUAUCUGAGAGGAGCUGUCCUUAGUACGAGAGGACCGGGAUGGACGGGCCGCUGGUGCAUCGGUUAGACUGCCAAGUCUACGGCCGAGUAGCCAAGCCCGGAAGGGAUAAACGCUGAAGGCAUCUAAGCGUGAAGCCCCCCUUAAGAUGAGAUAUCCCAUUCGAAAGAAGUAAACCCCCUUGA